CAUUUCGUGUACACAGAUUUCUGUACGCCAGCUUGUACACACGACCACAUCUCGAUAUACUCCUGUUACUGCUACUAGACGUCAUGAUGAAGUGGACUGUCUUUGUUACUUUGGUUUUGGUAGAGGCUACCAUCGCAAGUAAAUCGAGUUCUGAAUGUAAGUACUAAACAUUUUUUUUUAAAUUUAGGUCAAGUUAUUUGAACAAUUGUGUUUUAAAUAGGCCAUUUGUUUCGUUUAGUG